rnacentral:rRNA from 1 species
UACAGAGGUCCCAAGCGUUGUUCGGAUUCAUUGGGCGUAAAGGGUGCGUAGGCGGCGCGGUAAGUCGGGUGUGAAAUCUCGGGGCUUAACCUGGGAACUGCAUUUGUGACUGCAUGGCUGGAGUGCGGCAGAGGGGGAUGGAAUUCCGCGUGUAGCAGUGAAAUGCGUAGAUAUGCGGAGGAACACCGAUGGCGAAGGCAGUCCCCUGGGCCUGCACUGACGCUCAUGCACGAAAGCGUGGGGAGCAAACAGG